rnacentral:rRNA from 1 species
CGAAGAUAAGACGGAUUAGCGGCGGACGGGUGAGUAACACGUGAGUAACCUGCCUUUUACACAGGGAUAGCCUCGGGAAACCGGGAUUAAAACCUGAUGAAACUAUCAAAUCACAUGAUUAAGAAAGUUAAAACUCCGGUGGUAAAAGAUGGACUCGCGUCCCAUUAGCUAGUUGGUGAAGGUAACGGCCCACCAAGGCAACGAUGGGUAGCCGGCCUGAGAGGGUGAACGGCCACAUUGGAACUGAGAAACGGUCCAAACUCCUACGGGAGGCAGCAGGC